CAGCGCUGGUAGCAGCGACCCGGAAGGGAGCGCGAGGCGACGCCGGCUGCGGGGACCCGGUGACAGUGCGAGAAGUACUAGAUUUUACAAGCUUGCACCAUGCGUGAGUAUAAGCUAGUCGUUCUUGGCUCAGGAGGAGCUGGAAAAUCUGCUCUGACUGUACAAUUUGUUCAAGGAAUUUUUGUUGAAAAAUAUGAUCCUAUGAUAGAAGAUUCUUAUAGAAAGCAAGUUGAAGUAAUGCACAACAGUGUAUGUUUGAAAUCUUGGAUACUGCAGGAACGGAACAAUUUACAGCAAUGAGGGAUUUGUACGUGAAAAACGGACAAGGCUUUGCGUUAGUUUAUUCCAUCAGAGCACAGUCCAUAUUUAAUGAUUUACAAGAUCUGAGAGAACAGAUUCUUCAAGUUAAAGACGCUGAUGAUGCUCCAAUGAUUCUGGUUGGUAAUAAGUGUGACUUGGAAGAUGAAAGAGUUGUAGGAAAGGAACAAGGUCAAAAUUUAGCAAGACAAUGGAACAACAGUGCGUUCUUAGAAUCCUCUGUAAAAUCAAAAAUAAAUGUUAAUGAGAUCUUUUAUGACCUAGUGUGGCAAAUUAACAGAAAAACUCCAGUGCCUGGGAAGGCCCACAAAAAGUCAUCAUGUCAGCUGCUUUAUUAUACUAAAUGCAUUGUAGCUCUGAGCCAGGUCUGAAGAACUAUUGCCCAAUUCAACAGCGCCAGCAUUCCAACUUUAUUAAACCUACCAACAUCUUAAACGGACUUUCUGUGGUGGUACCCUUUAAGGGGCGGAUGAAAGCUACUACAUCAGUUUGCACAUUCUAAUCACUUUCCAGGAUCACAAGAGAGAUUUUUACUUAUAUAAUAGUCCUAGAGUAUGCAGCUGGUAAAACCAGAGGCUACAAUCCAGUAUUACUGUUAAGAGACAUUUUUCAUCCACCAAUGUUGUACAUGUAUGAAAAUGGUGUACUGUAUACUUUAACACGCCCCAUACUUUAUAUUGGAGAGUACAAUAAUGUAAAUCCUAAAAGCACCACUAUUAUUUUAGCAUAAUAGAAGAGAGUCCAAAGAGCUCCUAUAUAGAGUACUCCAGAUAACUUCACUUCUUUGAUACUUGUAGCUUAUUGAAUUUUUAAAACAUAAAUUCAAGGUCAUUACCAUUAUAUUGUACAAAUAAGCGCUUUAACACAGCGAUAUAGUUUUUUAAUUUUUAAAAAUCUGUGGAGACAGUGAUCUUGUCUUUAAGAUAUGAUAGUCCUGGGCUUCCCUGGUGGCGCAGUGGUUGAGAGUCCGCCUGCUGAUGCAGGGGACAUGGGUUCGUGCCCCGGUCCGGGAAGAUCCCACAUGCUGCGGAGCGGCUGGGCCCGUGAGCCAUGGCCGCUGAGCCUGCACGUCCAGAGCCUGUGCUCCACAACUGGAGAGGCCACAACAGUGAGAGGCCCACGUACCGCAAAAAAAAAAAAAAAAAAAAAGAUAUGAUAGUCCUUUCAGUAUAAUGUCUUAAAGACGUUGCCUUUAAUAUCUGUUGGGAAGGAAAUGUCCAGACUUUUCAAAUCUUUUAUUAUGUUUCCUUUUUUGUUUACAUAGGGAACAAUGUUUAUAGUUGUGUGUACAGUGGGGGGUCUACAACAAGAAGUGUAUAUUUUCAAACAAUCUUUUAAUGAUUUAACAAUUUUUGUAAAUCAUUUUCAGGCUUCUGCAGCUGUAGAUUCUCACUGUGAAUCCCCUGCUUGCUCAUGCAUAAGUGUAUUUGCAAUACCAAAUAUACAGGUUUAGUAUUUUUGCCUGUUAGUGAUUGUUUCACAUGUGUAACGUUUUGGUUGAGAUGUUAAAUGGUGGAUGAGUACUGUGGAUGUGAAUGUGGGAAGAAAUUUUAAUCAUGUGUAAUUGGUCACAAGGCCUAAGUUGCAGUAACUAUUGCUGUUUUAUUUAACGAUGCCUUGUUGCUUUGUAUGCACUAACAUUUGGGUGUAAACACUGUGUGUCUAUCCAACAGGGAGCCACAGUAUUUAAAUUGACCAACCUAAUGUUACAACUCCUUUUGAGGUGGCCAAACGUAAACUAAAAGCCUUAAUUAAAGUGGUGCAAUUUUGCAUAACUUAGCAUCAGUAGUUCAAUAAAUUUGGAUUGCCAAAAAAAAAAA